rnacentral:rRNA from 1 species
CUGGAUGCUGACGAGCGGCGGACGGGUGAGUAAUGCAUAGGAAUCUGCCCGAUAGUGGGGGAUAACCUGGGGAAACCCAGGCUAAUACCGCAUACGUCCUACGGGAGAAAGGGGGCUCCGGCUCCCGCUAUGGGAUGAGCCUAUGUCGGAUUAGCUAGUUGGUGAGGUAACGGCUCACCAAGGCCACGAUCCGUAGCUGGUCUGAGAGGAUGAUCAGCCACAUCGGGACUGAGACACGGCCCGAACUCCUACGGGAGGCAGCAGUGGGGAAUAUUGGACAAUGGGGGAAACCCUGAUCCAGCCAUGCCGCGUGUGUGAAGAAGGCCCUCGGGUUGUAAAGCACUUUCAGCGAGGAAGAACGCCUAGCGGUUAAUACCCGCUAGGAAAGACAUCACUCGCAGAAGAAGCACCGGCUAACUCCGUGCCAGCAGCCGCGGUAAUACGGAGGGUGCAAGCGUUAAUCGGAAUUACUGGGCGUAAAGCGCGCGUAGGUGGCUUGAUAAGCCGGUUGUGAAAGCCCCGGGCUCAACCUGGGAACGGCAUCCGGAACUGUCAAGCUAGAGUGCAGGAGAGGAAGGUAGAAUUCCCGGUGUAGCGGUGAAAUGCGUAGAGAUCGGGAGGAAUACCAGUGGCGAAGGCGGCCUUCUGGACUGACACUGACACUGAGGUGCGAAAGCGUGGGUAGCAAACAGGAUUAGAUACCCUGGUAGUCCACGCCGUAAACGAUGUCGACCAGCCGUUGGGUGCCUAGCGCACUUUGUGGCGAAGUUAACGCGAUAAGUCGACCGCCUGGGGAGUACGGCCGCAAGGUUAAAACUCAAAUGAAUUGACGGGGGCCCGCACAAGCGGUGGAGCAUGUGGUUUAAUUCGAUGCAAC